rnacentral:rRNA from 1 species
AACGAACGCUGGCGGCAUGCCUAACACAUGCAAGUCGAACGAGACCUUCGGGUCUUGUGGCGCCCGGGUGCGUCACGCGUGGGAAUCUUCCCUUGGGUUCGGAAUAACAGUUGGAAACGACUGCUAAUACCGGAUGAUGACGUAAGUCCAAAGAUUUAUCGCCCAAGGAUGAGCCCGCGUAGGAUUAGCUAGUUGGUGAGGUAAAGGCUCACCAAGGCGACGAUCCUUAGCUGGUCUGAGAGGAUGAUCAGCCACACUGGGACUGAGACACGGCCCAGACUCCUACGGGAGGCAGCAGUGGGGAAUAUUGGACAAUGGGCGAAAGCCUGAUCCAGCAAUGCCGCGUGAGUGAUGAAGGCCUUAGGGUUGUAAAGCUCUUUUACCCGGGAUGAUAAUGACAGUACCGGGAGAAUAAGCUCCGGCUAACUCCGUG